GCCUAAUCUGAGAUUUUUGUGGUUACAUUUUACUUCAUACAAAGGGUCUAAAAUGGUCUGCUCUGCCCAUGGGUUUCCUCAACUUGAGACUCUUAUUCUUGUAGUUUUAAAGGAACUAGAAGAAUGGGAAAUAGAAGAAGGUGCAAUGCCAUGUCUCAAGACUUUAAGAUUGGCUGCACCAAGACUGAAGAUGAUUCCAGAAGGAUUGAAAUCAGUCACCACCAUUCAAGAAUUGACUAUUGAUGGGCUGACAAAACUUGUGGAGAGGGUUAAAGUCAUAGACGGAGUGGAAGGAGAGGAUUUUGAAAAAGUGCGCCACAUACCAUCCAUCUUAUUCAACUAAUGGCGAAGCUGAAAAAACAUUUAUCACAAAGGCAUUUUGUAAGAGCAAUGAAUUGAUGGCAAACUCAGAAUUGCAGUCUGCGGACUGUAGCAGGCUUGGACAUGAACAUCCAUAACAGCAUUCCAUUUGGAUGUGAUUAGUUGUUUUCCUGUGUUGUUUUUGUGUGUUUAUUUUUUUUUUGAAUAACAAAUUUCAGUGUGAAAACCUUCAAACUUUAUUUCUUAUUUGCCAUAAUUGUAUUGUCAUUUUUAAUGUUUAUUUUACUUCUUAUUUCUUCCCAUAAAUAACAAAAUGAUGUAUUGCAAAUGCUUGACG
rnacentral:misc_RNA from 1 species